CCUACGGGCGGCAGCAGUGGGGAAUAUUGGACAAUGGGCGAAAGCCUGAUCCAGCCAUGCCGCGUGUGUGAAGAAGGCCUUCGGGUUGUAAAGCACUUUCAGUGGGGAAGAAAGCCUUGGGGCUAAUACCCUCGAGGAAGGACAUCACCCACAGAAGAAGCACCGGCUAACUCCGUGCCAGCAGCCGCGGUAAUACGGAGGGUGCGAGCGUUAAUCGGAAUUACUGGGCGUAAAGCGCGCGUAGGCGGUCUGAUAAGCCGGUUGUGAAAGCCCCGGGGUCAACCUGGGAACGGCAUCCGGAACUGUCAGGCUAGAGUGCAGGAGAGGAAGGUAGAAUUCCCGGUGUAGCGGUGAAAUGCGUAGAGAUCGGGAGGAAUACCAGUGGCGAAGGCGGCCUUCUGGACUGACACUGACGCUGAGGUGCGAAAGCGUGGGUAGCAAACAGGAUUACAUACCCGAGUAGUC
rnacentral:rRNA from 1 species